rnacentral:tRNA from 2 species
GGGCGCUUAGCUCAGUUGGCUAGAGCAUCGCGCUUACAACGCGAGGGUCACAGGUUCGAGUCCUGUAGCGCCCA